AGUUUCAAGUGAUUCUCCUGCGUCAGCCUCCUGAGUAGCUGGGAUUACAGACAUACAAUGAUGAGGAAUCUUUGAACACCUGGUCAAAUCCUCAGAAAAAGAAAUCAAUCCUGCUAAGCGACUGGACAAGUUAAAAUGUCUAAAGCACCACACCAGCUUCCAAAAAGCAGUUGGAUGAUAAUCCACAAAGUCUGUUAUUGUUACUGCAUGAUCACCUUCAUUUUCCAAGAAGCUUUCAAGUCCCUUCCAUACUAAGACUAGUAUAUGAAACAGUGAUUAAAUCUGGAUUUGGAGAGUGUUAUUCUAAUCUGAAAGAAUCUGAAGCUCCUUGUAAAGUAGCUGGCUCUCUGUCUGCAGGAAUGACCUUCUGUUCUCCAGUGCCUCCCUUAUCCAAGAUGCCCUGAGUAUAACACUUCUGGCCAUUGUAACUAUUGGACUUUUUGACAUAAGUUGUUGAUUUAUCAGUCAGCAGAGAUUUGCGUACUUUGGGUGCAUGAAUUUUCCUGUGGUUUAGAUUUGUUAUUUUUAGAUAAAUAUCUUCUUGAACCAAGGUAACAGAUGUAUGAAGACAAGAGGCUGAUGCUGAGAUGCAAGAUUGCCCUGUCUAACUUGAAAAGAAGAUGGAAAAUAUGUAUUUUCUGUAGACUGGCUUGACUUCAAAAAGGAUCUUUCAGGUCAUUUAAAAUGUCUUCUUUCAAAAUUUAGGUGGGAAGUCAAAUGAUCAUCAGAAGACAGCUUGGAGAGGCUGGAAUCAGAGUGAGAAGAGGCAGCCGGUGGCCCGAUUGGAAAGUUAAAUGAAGCUGAUGCUUUACUCUCCACCAAAGGGAUAGGAUUUUCCAGACAGGUCACUCACUCCCACACAGACCUGGACGUACAUGACUCCCUCUUCCUCCUGGACACUGUUUUGUCCUGUGCUGGGCACACCUCUUGUGCUAGACAUGUUCUUUGUUCUGCAGUGUCAAUUCCAUGGAUUACGUGACAGCCCAGUUCUUGAUCUUCUUUGACCUUGCCUCCACCCUGCCUACCAAGUGAAGCCAGGAAAUGGACAACUGUCGCAGAGUGACCCUAACUGAAGGUCUGCAGUGGCUAUCAUGCUCUGCUGAAGUUAGGAAGUGUCAUGUGAUCGUGUGUGAUCUGUGUGUAAACCAAACAACCUCCCCACCGCCAACCCAGGCUUCGCCUGCUGAUCUUUGGGGCAGGUCCAAUGGUGCAGAGGCUAAUGAAUUGAUAAUGAUGGGUGAUCAAUACGUUUAUCUCAGAAUAGGGGCUGCUGCUUCUCUGUAAACCAUUUGCUACCUUAAUGGAACCCUGAGUAAGCUGCGGUUGGGAGCUGAACUGAUGAGCGCACUGCUGGAGUCCUAGAAUUACAGGCUCAUUGUCUGCAUUGGCACUGAGACAUGAUACCUGAAAUGCUCAGGAUGUUAGCUGACACCUUUGUGAAAAGGAAAAGGUAUCCUAAAGUGGCAUGGUGAGUGCACCUGUCCUCCUACAGAAACAAAUUCUCAAGCAAUAAACAACAGUACAGAGUUUAUUUCCUAGGCAGCUGUCUGCCAGAGAAACAAGAAGAUUACGCCUGGCAUAAUGUGUAACUUUUCUAGCUACUCGUUUAACGGAACAAAUUGUCCUAAGGUGGUUUUUGUGGAGCUAUGAAGCGACUGAAUGCUGAAAAACACCUGUUCUUUUUGGAAGAUGAGCCAAUUAAAUGUUGGAUUGUCAGUCAUAGACUAGGAAAUGAUGAGAUCUAAAUAUACAGUUGCUUAGGCAGCAUUAGACAUCUGCUGUGAGCUAGCAAUGCCAACAUUAGCGGUGGGCAUGAAGAAAGCGUCUCAAUACUUCGAGCAAACUCGAGAAGAUCUUGGUGCCACCUGACCUCACAAGAAUCGUUGGGGAGAGACAUUUCAGAGACAGUAUCUUCCCAACCUACCUGCCUACAAAAGAAAUCUGUGCCCGCAGGCUGCUCACACGUGCACAAGUCAAUGUCAUCACAGGCCGUUUCCUUCUUUAAUGUGAAGAGCUUCCAAAGACAAGAAAGCGCAGCGUCUGCUCUUGGUGACUGUUUUAUGUUGCACCAUAAGCAAGAAAGUAAAUAAAUGGAGGAUAACCACCCCUCCCAAUCUGAAAGCAUAGCAGGAAGAGCACAAGGCAGACAAACCUAAGAAGCUAUGUCACCCAAUGCUAUUUGAGAAAGUGAUGAAGGUGAAAAAAGAACUGGAUGCUUCAGUAGAGUGCUGGACUAGUUUCUAGCUGGAAGUCACGUAUGGAAGCUGAGUCACCUCCGCUUCUCCUGCAGCCUGAGCUGGCUGUCACCGAGGCCUUGCUCAUUAUGCAGACUCAUUCCCAUGCAUACCAAAAGCAACACUUGAUGGUCGUGGAAGAUUUCCAUCCUCACAGGUCAUGAAAUGCGUCUGCACUGGAAUACUUGUUGUUUAUCACCUACACUAAGGAUUUACAACUGCCUAAGUGUUGUAUUUCUAGUGACUGUAUUCUGAAUGAAAAACUCCUGCCCUGAAGCAAGGACAAUUUCUUUAUUCACAUGGAGAAUGAUAGCAGGU